UUGAAAAUAGGAAAGACUUCAUCCACUCUGCAUCAGCUGGGACUGGCCACUAAGCCAGGAGGACCUUGUAGAGGGAAGAAUUUUGUUUUCUGUCUCUCUUUUCCUUCAGCUCCACUGGGAGGAGAACAUAAGUAGCACCGAAGGAGCUAGAUGACACAUGGAGAGAACCCUGGAACUCAGGAAGACUUGAGUUCAAAACUGGCCUGAGACACAAAGUUUCUGAUCUUGGGUUCCAUUUUGGGGAUGAAUUAUCUCUCAUCGGUUUGAAGGAUUUGGCUUCUCUCCCUCUCUUCCCCACUCUCGAUCUAUGCAUUUAAUAACCAAGCACUAUCAGAGUUUAUGGCCAUUAAGUUUUAUAAUAAUAUAAUUACAAUAAUAACAAUGUGAGUAUUAUUACUUUGAUUAAAAUAGCAUAGAUAUGAAAGUAAAUAGUUAGGGAAAUUGAAAUUCCCCAAUGUUGGCUACUUGGACUAACGGCCAGGAAAGGACAAGGGGAAAAGCAGCAAAUGAAUGCAAAAUGGCUUCUCCGUACAGGAACAAAGACGAGGGGAAAGAAAGAUGUUGUUAAUUAGGCUGAUGCUCCUUACAGGCUCCAGGGUUGGCUGUGACCUUUUCACCUCUCACGGUUCAAGCCUGGUCCAGCAGCUUAGGUCUGGCCUCAUUUUUGGCUCUCCUAAUUGCCUCAAACGUUGCCAGCUCCAUGCUAGAAUAAUCUGGAGUCCCUGAGAUACCUCACACCGAUCCUCCAUCAGUCUUACAUAGCACCUCCUCUCCUGCAGCAGCUUGGCUUCUUCCCAGAAACCCACUCAGGGUCAAGACACAGACCACCGGAAUCUCAGGAGCGUGUACCUGCCUUGCGGAAAGAUACCUAGUUUCCAUGGUAAUGACUCUGUGGGUGGGAUAAAUGCAGAUUACACAGAAUACUAAGUUUAAAAAAAAAGAUUCACAAGUACACAAGUUUCAGGAACAAAUUUGUGUGGUAAAAUGAAUUCACGUUCUUUUUUUUAUCACUAAGAAAAUAAGCAACUUCUUUUUGCUCAAACAACUACAAAUAUAGAAAUAUUCUGUGUUCUCUUCACAUUGUCACAACUGUGCAAAAAAAACCCCCAACUUUUCUUUUUAAAAAUGCUUUAUUUUUAUUCUGAAUUUAAUAAAAAUCAAAUAAAAUGAAUAUACAUAGAACAGAAAAAGAGAAUUGUACACGCAACUAUAGAUUUCUAUUAUGUAUAGCUUGUUUUUCUUUCUAAGGAUGCAGUAAAUUCAGUCUUUACCUUUCAAAAGUUGUCCUGCUUGUCCAUAGUUCUAAUUUUCAUUCUAUUCUCUGCAUUAAAAAGAAAAAGAUGCCUCUCUGACUCU